UACUUAGACAGACUAUGAAGAGAUACAUAGGGUGAGAAACGGAGGCCUUCAGCCAACAGCUGGGAGAAGCUGAGUCCCAUCAGCCAUUCAAAAGACUGCAGCCCCAGCCAAGAGUUUGAUGUAACCUCAGGAGAGACCCUGAGCCAGAACCACCUAGAAAUCUCCAAGUGAGAAGACCUUACUUGUCUUCUGAAAGUCUGGCCAACGAGCUAUACCUAGUGAUUCCAAAGUCCACAUAUAUUUACUCUGUUCUCACUGUGCAAAGUAACCACUCUGAAGUCAAAAAAGCUGGGAUACAUGAAGACUGCCAUCCCUUGAGUCACUUGCCCUGUAGCUGCCACUGUUGGAAAAGGGCUUGCUUCUGUGUCCUUGUGCCCACUUUGAAAAUCCCUGGGAAGUCCUUGGAGUCAGAUGAGCAGGCCUCCGCCACUCUGCCAAAAAGUCUGUUCAGAGUCCCCAACCCCUGAGCCAUGGACUGAUAUGGAGCUAUGGUCUGUUAGGAACUGGGCUGCCCAGGAGGAGCAAUGGUGCUUCUACAAUUUCCUUAUAGGAGGAGUGAAGAGUAAGCAUUUGGAUUGGACCAGGAUUUGGAGAACUUGUCAUGUUGCUCUACGUGCAUACGAAAUACAUCAUUGUAACUUAGAAUGUGAAUUACAGAACAAACAUGAAAGUUAGAAAAA
rnacentral:sRNA from 1 species